rnacentral:rRNA from 1 species
CCCUUAGAUGUUCUGGGCUGCACGCGCGCUACACUGAUGCACUCAACGAGUUUACGAGCUUGUCCGAGAGGAUUGGCUAAUCUUUUUAUAAUGCAUCGUGAUGGGGAUAGAUUAUUGCAAUUAUUAAUCUUCAACGAGGAAUUCCUAGUAAGCGCGAGUCAUCAGCUCGUGCUGAUUACGUCCCUGCCCUUUGUACACACCGCCCGUCGCUCCUACCGAUUGAGUGCUCAGGUGAAUAAUUCGGACUGCAGCAGUGUUUGGAUCCCGAACGCUGCAGCGGAAAGUUUAGUGAACCUUNUNACUUAGNGGAAGGAGAANUCGUANCA